ACACCGAUGGUGAAGCGGUUAUCAUGCUUGCCUUCCAUACUGCAGAGAUAACCUGGUAAGCAAGCGGCAGGGGUUCGACUCCCCUUCGGUGUA